GACACCACGAGAGGAACGACAGUGUUGGCACCAGAUGGUGGUGGUAGUAGCUUUGCAGGCUGUGGCAGGACACCUGAGAUCAGCAGGGGUUUCAGUCCAGAGUCACUGUGGGCUUGGGGCAGCACAGCACAUUGUGGCAGGAGUGUUGGAGCAGGCAAACAGUAGACAGCACCAAAGAGGGAGAUAGUGAAACCAGUUAGGGUAAGAGGACCGAAACGCUAUUUUUGAGGACAUUAACAUGCAUCCAAAGCCACCUGGGGCCUGUGUCGCAUGUGCAGCAUGAGCCACUCUGAAAGGUACUGACCAUUCUGACUCUUCACAUCCUGCCCUACACUGCCUUGCUUUGCACAGCUGCUGUGCUGCACCAUAUCAUUUUAGGAUGCGUCGCUGUUUCCCCGGAACCCUCCUGCAGGGCAUGACUUGCAGCCCUGGCCUGAAUGCCACUGCCCCACUGCCUCUCUUCUCUUCCUGUCCCCUGGGGGAGGGGCUGCCCAGGCCGGCCGGGUUCCCCCAGGGAGGUGAAGACUUGGAGUUGAAGGGGCGAUGGGCAAAGGCUGUCUGAGGACAGCUGAGCUUGAUGCUGUGCUCUUGUGCUCCUCUAGAGGAUGAGCUCUGACGUUGGGGUGGCAGCUCCAUGGCCAAGCCUGUGCAGCAAGUGUCCAACCCAGUCCCAGAGCCAGCGAGACCCUUCCUGAGCUGGAAAGUGACCGGGCAGGCUGCCAGGUGCACAUGAUUACACAGACCAGGAAUUGCAGCCCUGGGGGACAUCACUUCCUGUCACCUCCCAGGAAACAGAAGGCCUCAGGGGGAUCAUAGUUUAACUCCUUCCACGUGUGUGCAUGAAGUUAACAGUUGUUUUAUCCUUGUGGAUUGCUGUGUAUUCAGUGUUGCAUCCAGCCUCUCGGACUCCUCAGGUACGCUUGCACGGUAGAGACCAUAGGAGAUUCAGAAAGGACUUGGCUGGUUGGGAACCAGGAAGGAGCACAUUUCAAACUCAGCAGGGAAUGAAGAUGGGCCAGGCAGUUGCGGGCACUUUCCAGGGAGCACAAAUGCCAGAUUGCAGAAGAAAGAGCAAAGGUUGGGGCAGCGUGGAUCACUGUCCCUAGGAAGGGAAGGAGUUUGGUGGUGGUGGCCGCUCUGGGAGGGAGGGCGUGUGAGGACGGUGGUGGUGAGGGGAAGAAGCCAGUGGCAGAGAACUGCUCAGGGUGUGCUGACGGGGCACAGGGAUGUGCAACACGGAAGUCUGCUUUGUUUGCUUAGUUGGUUUUCUCCUGAAGGCUACAUCUGUUUGCUACACGACAAAUGUGUGCCUCACGUGUCCUUAGUUUGUAGAGACUCAUGUACAGUGUCUGUUCUUGUGUCAUUUUGAUCUAAUUAAGGAAGACGCACAGAUCUCGACUUGGGGCCUGCUGGGGAGGAAGUGUUCUUGGUCGUGAGCAAGCCCAGGAAAUGUGUCUUGUUUUCCUAUCUGGGGGUUGUGGUGAGGGCUAGAAGCCUGAGGCAGGAGCCAGGGCUGGUCGUGAGACAGAAACUUUCUCUGCGUUCAGUUUUGGUUGUUGAUGGUUUUCCCAGUUGGGUUGGUUUGGUUUGGAAAAUACGGUUUAUGAUACCCACAGAUGAUGCGUUACUUUGGCAGAGUUUCUCUUCCUCUCCCAGCCCUUCCCCUGAGCAGGUGCAGCAGGAUGGGUUUUCUCCUUCUCUGAAGGAAGAGGGCAUGGACCCAUGGGUCCUAGGGGAACCUGCCUUUGGGCUCAGCUGCUCCUUUGAGACAGUGCUAGCCUUGGAGGCAGCUGGAGGAUGCCCCCCCCAGCCCAGCCACCUCUGCAGUGUGGAAGACAGGUACCGUGCCAUUUGGGGCUAAAUGUUUAGUACGUAUUUUUCAUGUGAAAGAUGAGGCAUUUUGGAGUACUGUAGUUCUACACUGAGAGUGUCCUUCCAGCCUUCCUGUAUGUGACGCUCUCCCUCUGGGAUUUCACAUCUGGGAGAGGGCACGGGACAGUGUGAGUAGCUCAGCAGCAGAGCAUCAAAGAUGGCAUGACUGUGUGGAUCCACAAUUUCUGGCACCUUUUGAAAUUGCAUUUAUUUUAAUUUAGAGAUGCUAGGGGUUUUAGUGACUGAAUCACUUAAACCUGUGUGUUGGAGUUGACAGAAUUGGUUACAUAGAAUUUCAUAGCAGCUUCUUAGUUAGCUCAGAGAAGUUGGCCCAUGUCCUUCACGACCUGUGGAGUCAUGAUUGCCUGAAUAACUGUGUCACUUGGCAACGCAGGUCACCUCGAAGCAAAUCGCUGUUUACUUGAGACUCAGGAUUGAAAUUGUUGUCUUUCCUAUUUUCAGAAGUGUAUCUUCUCACUAGGAAAUAAUUUGCAAUGUUCCUUACAGACUAAAAACCCUGUCCAUGAGCAUGAGGGGGCUUGGGGAGAGAGUCCUUAAUAAUCUCCUCCUGCCCGACCGCACAGAUCAGUGGGGGAAAUGCUGCUGGUUUCACUGUAAAGGAAUAUAUUUUGUUCUUCUCAUAGAUUUUGAGUUUUCCUCAGUAGGCAGACAGAUACAAAUAAGCCUUUAAGAUUGAUAACUUUAAAACAUAAUUUGUUCAUGAAUCCAGACUAAAAGAAAUGAGCAGAAAGUGACAUCAGCUAUUAGAGAUUCAUGUGUGAUGUUUAGCUGUAUUAAUGUUUUAAUUGAACUUUACAUGGUGGAAGCAGAACACAGAAGUUAAGGGGUGUAUUUUCAAAAUAAGUGAGUCUUAAUAAAGAAUCAGAGUUCUGAAAUGUAGCUGUGUUUUCAAAUAAAAUGUUUAACUGAACUCACUGUUGCUUACACCCACCGUGUCCUGUCCCUGGCACCCAUGGUGUGGAAUUCGGAAAUCCGGUGCUGGAGCAUCAGUCAGCAGCAUCACAUAUGCAGAGUGGCCAGCAAGAAUGCCGUGGCUUCCUUCUCCUGAAGUCUCAUCCUACGCCACGACACUGUGCUCGAAUUUCAAAUCAAUGUGUGUGGUGGGGGAUGCACACCACCCUGCUCAGAAGUUUGCCUAGUCUGGCUUAUAUUUUGCAGAUGCUGUCUCUUAACUUUUCACGUUUCAGGAAAGUUUGUGAACAGAUGGAGGCAGAGAGAGCUCACCUGAAGCAGGAAAACGGGAUCCUGAGAGAUGCUGUCAGCAGCACCACAAAUCAACUGGAGAGCAAGCCACAUUGCCUUAUAAGGUCUUAGUCCUGCAGAAGUCCUUUAUCAGAUGUUGGCGUCAUUUCUGGGAAGAAUUCAACUCGGGGAGGAAAACGAAACUUAAGUUGGGAAGAACCCGGAAGUCAGGUUCAACUCCAGGAAGCUGAGAGAAGGUGGGAAGAAGUUCAAGCCUUUAUCAGGAAAAGAACAGCAGAACAUGAGGCAGCACAGCAAGGUAAAGGAGACAGGUGCUCAGGGAUUGAACUCAGGUCCCUGUGCUUGCCAGGCAGGCGGCAGCACCACUGAGCUGUAUCCCCAGCUGAAUGACUCACAUGGAGAUAAAGGAGCUUGCACUAUUUACAGGGUAAAUUUGUGUCCAAAGCAAAUGAAGUACAGAGCCUGCAUAGUAAACUUACGGAUACCUUGAUAUCAAAACAACAGUUGGAGGAAAGAUUAAUGCAGUUAAUGGAAUCAGAGCAAACAAGGGAAGAGUCUGUACAAAUGCAAGUUCAGGAUAUUUUGGAGCAGAAUGAGGCCUUGAAAGCACAAAUUCAACAGUUUCAUUCCCAGAUAGCUGCCCAGGAUUGCAGAAAAAGAUAAGCAGAUAAAACAAACUGAAGAUUCCCUAGCAAGUGAACAUGAUCAUCUGACUAGUAAAGAGGAGGAACUUAAGGAUAUGCAGAAUAUGAAUUUAUUAUUAAAAGCUGAAAUGCAGAAAUUACAGACUCUGGCAAAUGAGCAGGCUGCUGCAGCACAUGAAUUGGAGAAAAUACAAAAAAGAUUCUUAAUGAUUGAAACAAAGCAUUAAAGUUAGAAGUUCAAAGACUGCAGACUCUUAUUUCUGAACAGGUAUAAUUACACCGGAAGAAUGGGACAGAACAAAAAUGCGAAAUCCUUACCUUUCUGAGGAGGAAGUCAAGAUCUUAUAUUAAAUCUGAAGAGUCAACACAAAAGCAUAUUAUUUGGCCACAUGGGGUGAACGGCCAGAAACAGCGGCUGAGCUGACUGAAACAGAGUAUAUUAUGGGUUCUUGAAACUUACUCAAACAAAAUGAGAACGAUACAAGGUGAAGAGAGGACAUGUUUAUAACAUCAAAGAGCCAAAACUAAGAAGAGAUGGCAUUCUGUUUGCACUCUGAUGAGGAAGGCGACAGGAGGAAGAGAGGUGCACUGACGAGAAAAAGCCAGA